AGAGUUUGAUCCUGGCUCAGGAUGAACGCUGGCGGCGUGCCUAAUACAUGCAAGUUGUGCGGUAACAGAGAGAGCUUGCUCUCUGCUGACGAGCGGCGGACGGCAGAGUAACGCGUAGGAACAUACCCCAAACUGAGGGAUAACUGCUCGAAAGAGUAGCUAAUACCGCAUGUGGUCUUCGGAUUAAAGCUUCGGCGGUUUGGGAGUGGCCUGCGUCCGAUUAGCUAGUUGGUGAGGUAAUUGCUCACCAAGGCGACGAUCGGUAGCUGGUCUGAGAGGAUGAUCAGCCUGACUGGAACUGAGAACGGUCCAGACUCCUACGGGAGGCAGCAGUAGGGAAUUUUCCACAAUGGGCGAAAGCCUGAUGGAGCAACGCCGCGUGCAGGAUGAAUGCCUUCGGGUUGUAAACUGCUUUUCUGUGUGAAGAAUAUGACGGUAACACAGGAAUAAGGGUCGGCUAACUACGUG
rnacentral:rRNA from 1 species